UACGUAGGAAGCAAGCGUUGUCCGGAAUCACUGGGCGUAAAGCGCGUGUAGGCGGUACGGCAAGUCUGCUGUGAAAGCUCUCGGCUUAACCGGGAGAGGUCGGUGGAAACUGCCGCACUGGAGGACGGGUAGAGGGGGGUGGAAUUCCCGGUGUAGUGGUAGGAAAUGCGUAGAUAUCUGGAGGAACACCGGUGGCGAAGGCGGCAUCCUGGACCGGCAUUGACGCUGACGGCGCGAAAGCCAGGGGAGCAACGGG
rnacentral:rRNA from 1 species